GGACCCUUAGCUCAAUUGGUUAGAGCAACCGGCUCAUAACCGGUGGGUUUCGGGUUCAAGUCCUGAAGGGUCCACCA
rnacentral:tRNA from 1 species